AUUGAACGCUGGCGGCAAGCCUAACCCAUGCAAGUCGAACGAGUGGCGGACGGGUGAGUAAUGUCUGGGAAACUGCCUGAUGGAGGGGGAUCACUACUGGAAACGGUAGCUAAUACCGCAUACCAUCGGAUGUGCCCAGCUGGGAUUAGCUAGUAGGGGGGGUAAAGGCUAACCUAGGCGACGAUCCCUAGCUGGUCUUAGAGGAUGACCAGCCACACUGGAACUGAGACACGGUCCAGACUCCGACGGGAGGCAGCAGUGGGGAAUAUUGCACAAGUGGCGCAAGCCUGAUGCAGCCAUGCCGCUUGUAUGAAGAAGGCCUUCGGGUUGUAAAGUACUUUCAGCUGGGAGGCGUUACCCGCAGAAGAAGCACCGGCUAACUCCGUGCCAGCAGCCGCGGUAAUAC
rnacentral:rRNA from 1 species